GAGUUUGAUCCUGGCUCAGGAUAAACGCUGGCGGCGCACAUAAGACAUGCAAGUCGAACGAACUUAACUCAUUCUUAUAGAUUGAGAGCGGUUAGUGGCGGACUGGUGAGUAACACGUAAGCAACCUGCCUAUCAGAGGGGAAUAACAGUGAGAAAUCACUGCUAAUACCGCAUAAGCUAGUAAUAUCGCAUGAUAUAGCUAGAAAAGGAGUAAUCCGCUGAUAGAUGGGCUUGCGCCUGAUUAGCUAGUUGGUAAGGUAAUGGCUUACCAAGGCGACGAUCAGUAGCCGGACUGAGAGGUUGAACGGCCACAUUGGGACUGAGAUACGGCCCAGACUCCUACGGGAGGCAGCAGUCGGGAAUAUUGCGCAAUGGAGGAAACUCUGACGCAGUGACGCCGCGUAUAGGAAGAAGGUUUUCGGAUUGUAAACUAUUGUCAUCAGGGAAGAUAAAAGACAGUACCUGAGGAGGAAGCUCCGGCUAACUAUGUGCCAGCAGCCGCGGUAAUACAUAGGGAGCAAGCGUUAUCCGGAUUUAUUGGGUGUAAAGGGUGCGUAGACGGGAAAGCAAGUUAGUUGUGAAAUCCCUCGGCUUAACUGAGGAACUGCAACUAAAACUGUUUUUCUUGAGUGUCGGAGAGGAAAGUGGAAUUCCUAGUGUAGCGGUGAAAUGCGU
rnacentral:rRNA from 1 species